GACAGAGGGGCAAGCGUUGCUCGGAAUCACUGGGCGUAAAGGGCGCGUAGGCGGGAUGGCAAGUCAGUCGUGAAAUCUCUCGGCUCAACCGAGAAACGUCGGCUGAUACUGCCGUUCUUGAGGGAUGCAGAGGAGACUGGAAUUCCCGGUGUAGCGGUGAAAUGUGUAGAGAUCGGGAGGAACACCUGUGGCGAAAGCGGCGCACUGGACCACAACUGACGCUGAGGCGCGAAAGCUAGGGGAGCAAACAGG
rnacentral:rRNA from 1 species